rnacentral:misc_RNA from 1 species
GAUGAAGAACGCAGCGAAAUGCGAUACUUGGCGUGAAUUGCAGAAUCCCGUGAACCAUCGAGUCUUUGAACGCAAGUUGCGCCCGAAGCCAUUAGGCCGAGGGCACGCCUGCCUGGGCGUCACACGUCGUUGCCCCCCCCAUCUACUCCUUCGGGAUUGCGGGGGGCGGAUGAUGGCCUCCCGUGCGCCUCGCCGCGCGGUUGGCAUAAAUGCCAAGUCCUCGGCGACGCACGCCACGACAAUCGGUGGUUGCGAAACCUCGGUUGCCCGUCGUGUGCGGUCGUCGCGCAUCGAGGGCUCGAAAAAAUUGCCGAGUUCCGGCUCGGCUUUCAACGCGACCCCAGGUCAGGCGGGGUUACCCGCUGAAUUUAAGCAUAUCAAUAAGCGGAGGA